rnacentral:lncRNA from 1 species
AUGUGAGCCAUUUCCAUGGGCCUUAACUGUGCUGGGUGCUUUCACACAUGACAGGCUUUGAGGUGUCCCAUUUGACAGGACAGAGAACCAAAGUUGUCCAGUUGGCUGGUGGCCGAGCCUGCCCUUUCAUCCAGACCAUGUUUUCUCACCACCUGCUGCUGCGGCGUCCCCACUGACGUCCCCACUGAGGCACUGUUUUCCUAGUGUGCUAGUUUAGGAAUGACACAAGAUUCUGGCUCCUUCCAGAGGGUGCGGAGUGCAGUUGGUUUUACUGACAUACCCGCUUCCUGAGGACAACCUGUUCAGAGGAAGGAGUCCCUGAGACUCUUACCCAGGUCACGCACUGGAAGAUAAGUCCCAGCUUCGACACUGGGGGGGCCUGUCCAGUUCAGUGACCCUGUAAGAUGGAAAUGGCACCCACCUCACCUUAUAAACUCCUGCAGUUGUGCUUCCAUCUACCUCUGGAGGGAAGGGCAGAAAACAGGUGUUUUCCCCAGACUUCGCAACUCACAGCCAGUCAGUCUGAGGUGGUUCAUUCAACCCCACAGCCAUUUCCCUGGGAGCAAUAUGUGCAGCCACUGCACUGUGGUGAUGGGUACUGUUGGCAAGGCCCUGCCUAGGCAGGUGAGGCUGGGAGAGAGAGUGACAAAUUAGGGGAUCCCAAAUGGUGAUGGUGCCAGAGAAGUAAUAAAGCCAGGUGGCAGCAUUGUGUGGAAGGAGGGAUAGGUUAGGUUGGGGAGGCUUCUCUGAGGACAUAAUAUUUAAUCUGUUACCAGAAUGAUGAAGACCACAGGUCUUGGGGGUUGGAUUCCUAGCAGAGGGAAUAGCUAGUGAGAACGCUGGAGGGUCC